UGGAAAACAGAUCUCUUUUAUUGUCCUUAACAAGCUUCUUUUAUAAGGCUGCAUGCAUACUUUAAGAUAACCGUGUACAAAGAUCAUUGGUUACAUAUUAAUUACCUAAUACAUAUUGCAAAAGCUAAGCUCCUUAUUUGCUGUUCUUCUUUGCUCUGUUUGUUCCGUCUCUUAGGGUUACAAGUUCUGCUUUUGUACUUUUCCACUGCAUGCCUCAGUUUCAUACUUGCUGACAGUAUCGGUUCUAACCGGAUCUACAUCCUGUUAUUGUAUAACCACAGGCUUCAAUGUCACAGUGUCCUUGCGGCCUAAACCUCUUCUAGUCGUAGCGCAUUAUGUUCUUUCUCCUGUGGUCCAUUCUUCAUGAGUUCCCACAAGCUUCCUUCAAUGAGCUGAGUUUCGCUGGAAGUCCUUUCAGGAUUAAACAAAUCAUUCCCUUCAUUUCCCCCUUCUUGUUGCACCAUAAGGACUCGUUUUACAGAGUUAGCUAUUAUCUUCUGCAGGCAUUGUAUAACACACGGUAAAAGCAAGAUUAGCAAUAAUAUUAUUAUUAUAACAACAGUUACCUUCUCUAAAAUUGUAAUCCACCAUCCGGACAAGCCUAAUGAGGAUAACCAGUCCGUGAAAGGAUCAUUACUUUCACGGAGUUUUUUCAUAUUAUCCCUCAAAAUGGAAAGCUGUUUGUGUAUUGAUUGGGAAUGGUCAGAAAGGUUCAUACAACACAUUCCUUCAAACUCUUCACACCCAUGUCCCUGUGCUAAGAGUAAGAAAUCAAUUGCGGCACGAUUCUGUAGCAAGGCAAGUCUUAUUCCUUGGACGUCACUGGCCAAUUCAGACAAAACGUCUGUUGUAACAUUAAUUUGUUUUCCAGUCCAACAUGCUAAUUUUCUCAGUUGCGUUAACGCCUGUGCUGAAGCUACCCCGGGGGCAAAUAUACUAGCUAAAAUAACUUCAGGGGGGUUCCAGAGUACCACUUCAUCCUUGCAAUCAUCACCUAAUUCUACAAGAGCUCUUUUACUGCGGUGGUUAUUUGUAUGAUUGGCUUGAAAGAUAUUAGUGAUACUCGGUGUAAAUAGUGUUAAACGGCCAAUAUAACAAGGUCCUCCCUUAGCACUUCGAGGAAUUCCCUGCCAAGCUCGAUCGCCACAGAUUAAAAACAUCCCAUCUGGCAGUCGUCCUGCAUUGGAGGUGAUCGUUGUAACAUUAACAAUUUUUUGACAAUAUGCUGAUAUAUUGUAAGGUCGAUAUGAUGUAACAUUAAUAGGAUCAUCUUGAUUGUUAUGGGAGUUAAACAAAAAACAUUGAUCAGAGGGAGCAGAGCCUAAAAGAUUAAAUUCCUGUACUUCUCUAGUCGUGGUACACAAAGAGCUUUUGCACUUCAUAAAAGGGGAAGAAGCGUUAAAAGUAAUAUUAUCCUUGUUACAGCGCGUGGGGCGCCAGAGAUUACCACAUGUUAUAACAAAAGGAUCAAGGGUGAUAGUAGAGUUAUUUAUCAAGGUCAUGUUAAUAGGGACUCCUAAUAAACAUGUUCUAAAAGGAUCAGAAGGAGUAGCCAUUGAGAGACAAAGGCUACUCUGGUUGAUUUUUUCUGCCCAAGUGACCCAGAGGUUUUUCCUGUCUUCUAUGUGUUUAAGGGUUUCCCAAGCUUUUAUGCCACUAAUGAGGAUGGAAACAAUGAUUCCCGGUAGGAGGCACAUCAUUCCAGGGCUACCCUUAAUUAGUCUCAUUUUCCUGUUUUAAAGGGUCGGUCCUGCUGCUUGAUUUUCCUUUUCCAGGCGAACCGCCUUUCACACUUUUUCUUGGUGCGCUCCCAGUCUUCUUUCGAGACUAGCCAGAUAGCAGGUACUAAAUUAGUUCGACUACAUUCUAAAUCACAAAUCUGUAUGAUUUUUGCCCUCUCAAUUACCCCUCUGUGCCAUUCAGCGCGGUAAUCAAAAAGGCGGCUGCUUUCUGAGGGUUCGUGCCCUGUUAUAAGUAAUAUUCUGACUGUUUCUAAUUCUCUUUCCAGGCAAGGAGAACACCAGCGCCUGGAGCGAGUCAAGCGGCACCACCACUCCUUGUCACAAGCGUAACACACACACACAGGGAUCACAACAUCCGCACAAACUGCAGGAAACCUUCCCAAGAAAUACUUCUCGGCGCCCAUGCACACAGCAGUUAUUCAUGUAAAGUACUCAAGUCUUCAGGGUCGGCUUCUUUUGUGAUAGGCUCUUCCAAGCGCUGUUCAGAAUCCUCGGACGAAAUCUUUGGCAAAGGUUCACGGAAUGGUCGCACGUUCUUUGCUGGGAUCCACCUGGGGCCUUUCUCUCUCACCUCUUUUCGGAGGGAUUAAUUGCCGGCCGGCUCCUGCUUCCUUUCAGCAGCUCACUCAACGUUCUGUGGGACUCGCAGCCUGCCACGCAGUUAGGUGGUUCACGAUCCCAUAUCACGUCGGGGUCACCAAUUUGCCGCGAUUGAGAGACGGAGACCCUGCUAGGUGGAAAACAGAUCUC
ensembl:lncRNA